rnacentral:lncRNA from 1 species
AUUUCUUAGAAAUAAGCAAAAAUUUUCAUGGAUAUUGUCUGAUUUGGAAAAAAAUCAAAUUUACAAUUCACUUUGCAGAUGAUAAAUCAGUAUUGCUGAUCACUGGAUUUUCUUGUGAUUAUAAACGAUUGUGGGAAAGGGCUAUAUCAUAUCAAUGAAGCAUAGCCCAGGGCCACACUUAAAUAUUAUACAUGCUUUUUAUUCCUUUAAUAAUUACAAAGAAAAUACAGCAUUAUGCCUAUUAUUAUUUAUUAAAAAAUUAUUAGUGACUUUUAUGAAAUUCUUUACAUUCUUUAGUCAUCUUUUCAAAAACUGGAUUAACUUUGCAGUGUUUAUUUCCAAUACUACUUCCAAGUCUUUAUCAGAGAUCCAUGUUCUUAAGAAAUGCUUGUUUAUGUUCAUAAUAGAAAAUGAUUUUCUGUAUUCAUUUUAUUAGCAAAAGUUUGGGCAUUAUGGCUAUUAUUUACAAGGGCUGCAUAUGGCCUAUGAUGUGUUUGUCCACUGCUGAGAUAAGCAUAAAAUCAAUUUCUGCACUAAAUAUAUAACAAAACCGAAGAUGAAUUGAGCCACAAAUACUCAGAUAUCACUCUAGGGCAUGCUUUUCAAUCUAAGAAUCAAUUAAUUCCUAAAAGUAUGUUAUAUAAUUAUCUAUAGUGGGUCUUGGAGCUAUACACCAUCUAUUGAUAAGUUUUUAUUUUUCAUUACUGUAACUUAAUUGAUGAAUCAAAAAUAAACUGUUUUUUCUGAAC